AUUGAACGCUGGCGGCAUGCCUAACACAUGCAAGUCGAACGAGUGGCGGACGGGUGAGUAAUGUCUGGGAAACUGCCUGGUGGUGGGGGAUAACUACUGGAAAGGGUAGCUAAUACCGCAUACCAUUCGAUCUGCCAAGAUGGGAUUAGCUUGUUGGUGGGGUAACGGCGCACCAAGGCGAUGAUCACUAGCUGGUCUGAGAGGAUGACCAGCCACACUGGAACUGAGACACGGACCAGACUCCUACGGGAGGCAGCAGUGGGGAAUAUUGGACAAUGGGCGCAAGCCUGAUGCAGCCAGGCGGCGUGUAUGAAGAAGGCCUUCGGGUUGUAAAGUACUUUUGGCGGGGAGGCGUUACCCGCAGAAGAAGCACCGGCUAACUCCGUGCCAGCCGCCGCGGUAAUAC
rnacentral:rRNA from 1 species